CUGUGUGGGGAAGCUGAGAGCCAGAGCCACGCUCAGAGAAUGCUUGAGAGACUGAGAUGUAAACCUCAACCAGAACCAGAACCCAGCUGUGUGUCCUUUAAGAGCGACUGGUCAAAGGAUGACUUCAUUAACUUCAAAUCUUCAGGACCUGCAUCCUCAGAGAGGAUUCCUAAGACGCUGACAGAUAAACAUCAACCAGAACCAGAACCCAGCUGUGUGUCCUUUAAGAGCAACAGGUCAAAGGAUGCCAUCAUUGACUUCAGAUCUCCUGGACCUGAAUCCUCAGAGAGAGUGGACCAGCAGAACUCAGAGGUUCCCAGAGGUCCGU